AACAGCUGCGGUAUUUUAACUGUACUAAGGUAGCAUAAUAAUUUGCCUUAUAAUUUGAGGCUAGAAUGAAUGGUUUGACGAAGGUUAAUCUGUCUCUGUUUUAUUUUUUAGAAAUUAAUUUUCAUAGUGAAAAAGCUUGAAUUUUUUAAAGGGACGAGAAGACCCUAUUGAGCUUAUAAUUUUAUUAUUAUUAUUAUUUGUAAUUGGUGUAAUAAUAUAUAAAUUUUAAUUGGGGUGAUUAAGGAAUAAAAAUUAAUUAAUAUGAUUAAAUAACUUCCUUAGAAAUUAUAUUGUUAAAUAAAGUAACCUAUAGUUAUUAUAAAAAUUUAUAAUCAGUAUUGCUUAUAAUAUAGUUACCAUAGGGAUAACAGCGUAAUUUAUUUAGAGAGUUCUUAUUGAAAAAUAAGGUUGCGACCUCGAUGUUGGAUUAAAGUAACCUUAAGGUGUAGAAGCUUUAUAAGGUAAAUCUGUUCGAUUUUUAAAACUUUACGUGAUCUGAGUUCAGAC
rnacentral:rRNA from 1 species